rnacentral:miRNA from 1 species
ACCAGUUUGUUGUCUAUUCGA